CAAUAGCGUAUAUUUAAGUUGUUGCAGUUAAAAAGCUCGUAGUCGGAUUUUGGCUGAGAACGAUCGGUCCGCCGUUAGGUGUGCACUGAUUGGUCUCAGCUUCCUGGUGAGGAGGUGUGCUUCACGGCCACUUAGUCACCGUGGUUACUUUGAAAAAAUUAGAGUGUUCAAAGCGGGCUUACGCUUGAAUAUAUUAGCAUGGAAUAACACCAUAGGACUCCUGUCCUAUUUCGUUGGUCUCGGGACGGGAGUAAUGAUUAAGAGGGACAGUCGGGGGCAUUCGUAUUUCAUUGUCAGAGGUGAAAUUCUUGGAUUUAUGAAAGACGAACUACUGCGAAAGCAUUUGCCAAGGAUGUUUUCAUUAA
rnacentral:rRNA from 1 species